rnacentral:rRNA from 1 species
UACGUAGGGUGCAAGCGUUUAAUCGGAAUUACUGGGCGUAAAGCGUGCGCAGGCGGCUAUGCAAGACAGAUGUGAAAUCCCCGGGCUCAACCUGGGAACUGCAUUUGUGACUGCAUAGCUAGAGUACGGUAGAGGGGGGAUGGAAUUCCGCGUGUAGCAGUGAAAUGCGUAGAUAUGCGGAGGAACACCGAUGGCGAAGGCAAUCCCCUGGACCUGUACUGACGCUCAUGCACGAAAGGCGUGGGGAGCAAACAGG